UUUUUGCCAUUUCUUCGGCCUCUCCCAUGGCAUAUGGAGGUUCCCAGGAUAGGGUUCAAGUCGGAGCUGUAGCCAGUGGCCUCGCCAGAGCCACAGCAAUGCAGGAUCCAAGCUGAGUCUGCAACCUACACCACAGCUCACGGCAAUGCAGGAUCCUUAACCCACUGAGCAAGGGCAGGGACCGAACCCGCAACCUCAUGGUUCCUAGUCGGAUUCGUUAACCACUGCGCCACGACGGGAACUCCUAACCUACUAUUUAUUGAGAGCCAAUGACAUAGAAGAAAAUGAGUACCUAUUUUGAUAAGGUACACUGAUAGGUCUUUGGAAUAAAAAAAAGAGCUCAUGCUCUUUAAGAAACUCAGAUUCCAAGUGAAAUUUAUGGGGCAUUGAGGAAAAUAAAGAGAUUUUAUAAAAGAAUACUAUUCAUAAAAAAAAGCAAUAAUGUUAUUACUUUCUAAAAGCAUGUAGAUAAAGGAAGGUCCUGAUAAGGCAUCAGCAUUACCCUUCUCAACAAAUGCAGUUAACGAGAGGGGAUUAGGAACUCCAAUUUUUACACCUUCUAGGUUGUAGUCAGAAAGCGAAGCAUUUAAUGUGUUAUUUUAUAUACAUCGUCUCCUAUCUUGACAUCAUCAUUACCCAUUUUAUGGGUAAGAAAACAAAACCAAAAGGACCUGCUUGCUUACUCAAGAUUAAGCAGCUAGCAGCACACAUUUUCACAACUGCGGGUCAACUGUUCCCAUCAAACCGAUCUGCUUUCUCUCCCAACCCCCAAGGCAUUCAAAGCAGAAGCUCACAACAUGGUGUAGCAAUGUAAGGGGCCACAACUCGCCAUGUAUUUUGAAAUACCAUUCAUCCACAGUUUCUAACCUGUUACCUUUCUCUCAGGACCUGUGGUGCUCACUGGGGUUAAAGAGCUACUCUUACUAUCAUCAGGUCUGGGGUGCUCUCAGCUUUAGGCCUGACUAGGCCCCUCCCCUUCCCCGAUGUUACUCUAUAAGCAUACUCAUUAAGAACCGAACCACUAGAUUCCAACACGCUUUUUAAAUGCCACGUUCUCAGAAGAUAUACUCCAUGUUUUCAAAGGCCAGGGUGCUUUGAAAUUUUGUGUUAAAGGACUAUCAUAAGUAGUUGAGGUUUUCUAAAGGUCAAAUCUUCAUUUACAAAAUGUAAAGACUUUGCUUUAUUCACACAAAAAUUGUGAACAGUGUUUGAGUAGUUUUGUAUCAUUCAGAAGAUGGUUUUGAAACAGUAAGGAAUAGCUCCCAAAUCUCAGUGGCAAAAUAUGAUAAAAGUUUACUUAUACAUCACACUGCAAGAUCAGCAGGAGGACUCUGUUCACUGCAAACACUCAAAACACUCAGCAGAUGGAUGCUCCACCUUGACAAGCAUUUCCUCCAUCAGUGAGAGAGUAAUAGGGGCUACGGCAACUGAUACACGGGACUCUUAAAGUUUCCGCCCAGAAGUGACAUACACCACAUUCAUUCACAUUCCUUUGGCCAAAGACAAUUCAAGAGUCAGUGACUCAAGAGGGGCUGGGGGUGAGGAAGGGGAUCAGGGCAAUCUGGAAAUAUUUGAUGAUUAGCACAAUGACUAUCAAAAUCUGGCAGACAGUUUUUUAUUUUUAUUUAUUAAUUAAUUUAUUUUUUUGUCUUUUGUCUUUUUAGGACUGUACCCCACAGCAUAUGGAGGUUCCCAGGCUAGGGGUCAAAUCGGAGCUGUAGCUGCCAUCUACGCCGCUGCCACAGCAAUGCCAGAUCCAAGCCAUGUCUGCAACCUACAUCACAGCUCAC
ensembl:lncRNA